UCCCCUCCUUUCUAAGGAUUUUUACAUGACGUACGUUUUGACACUUUGUUCAGUUUUGAGAGUUCAAUCUCUCAAUUAUAGAAAGCACACUACUUUCUUCUUAUCUAAUAAGAAGAAUUUUGGUUGCGAUUGUUCUUUGAAAACUAGAUAACAGUAAUUGCUGAGGAAAAGUGAAACUUUUCUUUAAUCAAAUCAAUAAAUAACACAACAUUAUGUUGUACCAUUUAUUCGCUAAUGGUUAAGUUAGAAAGGGCGCACGGUGAAUGCCUUGGCACUAGGAGCCGAUGAAGGACGGGACUAACACCGAUAUGCUUCGGGGAGCUGUAAGUGAGCUUUGAUCCGGAGAUUUCCGAAU
rnacentral:misc_RNA from 1 species